rnacentral:rRNA from 1 species
GUGGUUUAAUUCGAAGCAACGCGAAGAACCUUACCAGGUCUUGACAUCGAUCUAAAAGGGAUGGAGACAUCCUCAUAGCUAUAGAGAAGACAGGUGGUGCAUGGUUGUCGUCAGCUCGUGUCGUGAGAUGUUGGGUUAAGUCCCGCAACGAGCGCAACCCCUGUCGCCAGUUACCAUCAUUAAGUUGGGGACUCUGGCGAGACUGCCUCUGCAAGGAGGA